rnacentral:rRNA from 1 species
UACAGAGGGUGCAAGCGUUAAUCGGAUUUACUGGGCGUAAAGCGUGCGUAGGCGGUUCAUUAAGUCGGUUUGAAAUCCCUGGGCUUAACCUGGGAACUGCAGUCGAUACUGGUGAACUAGAAUGCGGUAGAGGGUGGCGGAACUCCGGGUGUAGCGGUGAAAUGCGUAGAUAUCCGGAAGAACACCGAUGGCGAAGGCAACCACCUGGGCCUGCAUUGACGCUGAGGUACGAAAGCGUGGGGAGCAAACAGG